rnacentral:rRNA from 1 species
ACUUACCAACCCGAUGCAAACUGCGAAUACCGGAGAAUGUUAUCACGGGAGACACACGGCGGGUGCUAACGUCCGUCGUGAAGAGGGAAACAACCCAGACCGCCAGCUAAGGUCCCAAAGUCAUGGUUAAGUGGGAAACGAUGUGGGAAGGCCCAGACAGCCAGGAUGUUGGCUUAGAAGCAGCCAUCAUUUAAAGAAAGCGUAAUAGCUCACUGGUCGAGUCGGCCUGCGCGGAAGAUGUAACGGGGCUAAACCAUGCACCGAAGCUGCGGCAGCGACGCUUAUGCGUUGUUGGGUAGGGGAGCGUUCUGUAAGCCUGCGAAGGUGUGCUGUGAGGCAUGCUGGAGGUAUCAGAAGUGCGAAUGCUGACAUAAGUAACGAUAAAGCGGGUGAAAAGCCCGCUCGCCGGAAGACCAAGGGUUCCUGUCCAACGUUAAUCGGGGCAGGGUGAGUCGACCCCUAAGGCGAGGCCGAAAGGCGUAGUCGAUGGGAAACAGGUUAAUAUUCCUGUACUUGGUGUUACUGCGAAGGGGGGACGGAGAAGGCUAUGUUGGCCGGGCGACGGUUGUCCCGGUUUAAGCGUGUAGGCUGGUUUUCCAGGCAAAUCCGGAAAAUCAAGGCUGAGGCGUGAUGACGAGGCACUACGGUGCUGAAGCAACAAAUGCCCUGCUUCCAGGAAAAGCCUCUAAGCAUCAGGUAACAUCAAAUCGUACCCCAAACCGACACAGGUGGUCAGGUAGAGAAUACCAAGGCGCUUGAGAGAACUCGGGUGAAGGAACUAGGCAAAAUGGUGCCGUAACUUCGGGAGAAGGCACGCUGAUAUGUAGGUGAAGUCCCUUGCGGAUGGAGCUGAAAUCAGUCGAAGAUACCAGCUGGCUGCAACUGUUUAUUAAAAACACAGCACUGUGCAAACACGAAAGUGGACGUAUACGGUGUGACGCCUGCCCGGUGCCGGAAGGUUAAUUGAUGGGGUCAGCGCAAGCGAAGCUCUUGAUCGAAGCCCCGGUAAACGGCGGCCGUAACUAUAACGGUCCUAAGGUAGCGAAAUUCCUUGUCGGGUAAGUUCCGACCUGCACGAAUGGCGUAAUGAUGGCCAGGCUGUCUCCACCCGAGACUCAGUGAAAUUGAACUCGCUGUGAAGAUGCAGUGUACCCGCGGCAAGACGGAAAGACCCCGUGAACCUUUACUAUAGCUUGACACUGAACAUUGAGCCUUGAUGUGUAGGAUAGGUGGGAGGCUUUGAAGUGUGGACGCCAGUCUGCAUGGAGCCGGCCUUGAAAUACCACCCUUUAAUGUUUGAUGUUCUAACGUGGACCCGUGAUCCGGGUUGCGGACAGUGUCUGGUGGGUAGUUUGACUGGGGCGGUCUCCUCCUAAAGAGUAACGGAGGAGCACGAAGGUUGGCUAAUCCUGGUCGGACAUCAGGAGGUUAGUGCAAUGGCAUAAGCCAGCUUGACUGCGAGCGUGACGGCGCGAGCAGGUGCGAAAGCAGGUCAUAGUGAUCCGGUGGUUCUGAAUGGAAGGGCCAUCGCUCAACGGAUAAAAGG